AUGAUUAUGAUGAUUUGUAUUACCGCCCCAGUCUGAAAUAUUCAUGACUGAUUGGUUGUAGCUGAUAUUAA